rnacentral:rRNA from 1 species
GUGUCAGCAGCCGCGGUAAUACGAAGGGUGCAAGCGUUACUCGGAAUUACUGGGCGUAAAGCGUGCGUAGGUGGUUGUUUAAGUCUGUUGUGAAAGCCCUGGGCUCAACCUGGGAACUGCAGUGGAAACUGGACAACUAGAGUGUGGUAGAGGGUAGCGGAAUUCCCGGUGUAGCAGUGAAAUGCGUAGAGAUCGGGAGGAACAUCCAUGGCGAAGGCAGCUACCUGGACCAACACUGACACUGAGGCACGAAAGCGUGGGGAGCAAACAGGAUUAGAAACCCCUGUAGUCC